CUCAAGAGCUUAGAGGCCACAAUUGGAUAAGGGAAGGAAAAAGUGAUCGAAUAGCCGUCAAAGCCGUUCGACAACAUCCGAGAUUUUGCUCGGUAGCAAUCGGAUUCGGGAUCAUUAAAGUCGAAGUCAUCUACACUAUCAAAGCCUCCAUUUUGGUAUAAUUUUGGUUGAACUUUGAAAUGGCAUGUAUAGGACUACCCUAAUGUUGAAGGUCAUGUACCUUUCGGUUUUGUGUAAGCUUGGAUAGGCAUGCGAAAAUGGCUUAUGUACGUUUUUAGUAUGAUUCUAUAAUAGUUUGUAUGAUAAUCAUUAUGGGGUAUGAAA